UGGAGACAUCAUCCACCUGAAUGUCGGAGGGAAGAGGUUCAGCACGUCCCGACAGACGCUGACGUGGGUUCCUGACUCCUUUUUCUCCAGUCUUUUGAGCGGUCGCAUCUCGACUCUGAAGGAUGAAACUGGAGCGGUGAGUAUCGAGGAUUUGUUUUUUAAUGACCUCUCAGUGAUGAAGUUCUGACAUC